GCUACGAGUACCGGGAGGCUCCGGCGGCGCUCGUGGAGAGGGUGAGGGCCAUGGAGAGGGUCUGCCGGGAGUUCGGCGUCCCGCUCGCGGCC
rnacentral:tRNA from 1 species